CUCUGCUACAAUGUAAGUAGUAAGUGUACAGCCUGUAUAACAGUGUAAGUUUGCUGUCCCCUCAAAAUAACUCACACAGCCAUUAAUGUAUAAACCGUCGGCAACAAAAGUGAGUGUGUAGAGUUAUUUUGACGGGACAGCAAAUUUACACUGUUUUACAGGCUGUACACUUACUACUAUACAUUGUAGCAGAG